UUUUCCUCCUCUGUGAAUUGCCUACUCAUGUCCUUUGUCCAUUUUCUGUUGGGACUCCCCAUCUGGUUUUUGUUUAUUUGCAAAAAUUCCUUACAGGUCUACAUAUCAAUACCUUGUUUCUUUUGGUGUUCAAGUAGCUUUUUCAAAUCUGUCACCCAGUAGGUACCUUCGUGAGAUCAUUUCCUAAUUUUUUUUUUUAAAACUUGAGAUAUAAUUGACAUCAUAUUAUAUUAAUUUCAGGUGUAUGACAUAGUGAUUUGAUAUCUGUAUACUUUGUGAAAUCAUCAUAAAUCUAGUUAACACCCACCACCACACAGUUACAAAAUUUUCUUCUUAUGAUGAAGAUUUUUAGAUCUCCCUCUUAGCAACUUCCAAGUAUACAGUCCAGUGUAAUGAACUAUAGUCACCAUGCUAUACAUUACAUCCCCAGAAUGUAUUUAUUUUAUAACCAGACCUUUGUACCUUUUAACCACUUUCACGUAUUUUGCUCACCUCCAUCCACCUUUGGUAACUACUUGUUGAAAAGAAAUCCUCAAGUUUUAGGUAUUUGAGACAUAAUUAUACAAAACAAUUAUUUAUCUAAGAGGCUUUUCCGCCAUUCCAGACCCUCCUCUUUGCAAGAGUUUUCUGUGAAGCAUUAUUCUAUUAAUAUACUUUCAUAUGUUGUAAAUAGCCAACUCUCUCCUUACAUUUAGUUAGGGACUAAUUCUACAAUAGAGAGAAAAUUAAUUCUUGGACUUUUAAGAACCUAGCUGAAAACCACAAGCAUUGCCAAAGACCGAACACUUAUUUAAUCAUUCCUGUUUUGGCUAGUAUCCUUUUAUUUUAUUUAUUAAAAAUUUUUUUUUGGCUGUGCCUGCGGCAUGUGGAAGUUCUCAUGCCCAGGAUCAAAGCUGUGCAACAGCAGCGACCCGAGCUGCUGCAGUGACAACACCAGAUCCUUAACCCACUGUGCCACAGGAGAACUCCUGCCUAGAGUCAUUUUAACGUAAACUAUGGACACACACACACACUGCCCACUUCUGUGAGAAAUGCUCACAUCUGUGGCCAAUUUCUAGUUUCAGGAGUUAGACACAUUGCUGGCCACUAGAUAGGGCUGGAACCUUAUUUAUGCAGCUUCCUAUGUGCGCUAUUCCUGGGUGUCCCAUUUCAGAAGUAAAGUUGCCUUUGUUUUAUACUUUUUAGAACAUUUUCCCAAAGCAGUCUUCAUCUUUAAAUUCCCCACAGAGCACAUACAUAAAGGGAAAAAAGAAAAGGGAAAGGAGUUCCCGUUGUGACGCAGCGGAAAUGAAUCAGACUAGGAACCAUGAGAUUGUGGGUUCAAUCCCUGGCCUUGAUCAGUGGGUUAAGGAUCCGGUGUUGGUGUGAGCUGUGUAGGUCGCAGACUCGACUCAGAUCUGGGCAUUGCUGUGGCCCUGGCGUAGGCUGGCAGCUACNGCUUGGGUUUGACCCCUAACCUCCACACGCCGAGGGUGCAGCCCUAAAAGGAGAAAAGACCAAAAAAAAAAAAAAAAAGGGGGGGGGAAGAAAAGGGAAAAACUUCCAAGUGUAUCUGCCAAUCAUGUUUCAGCAUAACAACUAUCAUUACUUGAAGGACAAGUCUCUCAGCUGUGCUCAGAGUUGGGGGCGGUUCUGGGUACAGUCAGCCUCCUCCCUCAGUUUUCUAAGACGGUUUAGUGGACUUUGGAGCCAAAGAUCAGGAACCUCUCCUUUUCCUUACCAGGUCCUACACUGAUUGAUUGUUUCUUAAAAUAGCAGUAAGUGUGAUUGAGAACUUUAUUGUCCAAGACCACUUUUUGAUGAAAUUCUUUUAUUUGCUACUGAGGAUAUUUAGUAAUUAUCAGAUGUUACUGGUUUUAGUUCUCUGCUAGUGAGGUUUUUAUUGACUUGAAUUGUUUAAGAAUUUAGGAAGUCGUGGCCCUGGCUCUUCUUUGCAGUAGAUCUGCAGGAAAAGAGGCUGGUUGACGGUUAAGACCAUGGACACAGCCUGGUUAUAGGUCUCUGGCGUGGGGGGGGCAGGUUAAGGAAACUGCUUCUCUUUCCUAUACCUGAGGUAGUGAUGACAUUUAUAGCAAUUUAUCUUCUGUUCAGGGUAUUGACAUGCUGCUUUUCUUUAUGCUUUAAUAAAAACAUUAUAAGGUGGUCAGUGGGAUUAUGAUAUAGAGCAAGAUAAAGAUUUUGAAGAACUUUUAAUUUCCUCAUUCUCCCUGUGCUCUGCCUUGUGGGUUGUAAAUUGAGUAAAGUUUGUUUUGGCAGGGAGUAAAGGGCUCAAUAAUUGUCAUGCUCUCUUAGUUGUUAUUUAUCAAAUCCUUUUUCUUGUAUAUAGGAAGAAUUUUCACCUGGGAAAUGGCCAUGAGCCUCAGCUCGCUGAGUCAGGCUAGUUCAGGGGCUUCCUGGUAUAAUAGCUUGCUUAACACCUUGGCUGCAGGAGUUCCCAUCAUGGCUCAGUGGUUAAGAACUUGACAUAGUAUCUGUGAUGAUGAGGGUUCAAUCCCUGACUUUGCUUAGUGAGUUAAGGAUCUGGCAUUGCUGGAUCUGGUAUUGCCAUGGCUGUGGUAUAGCCCCCAGCUGCAGUUCCAUUCAACCCCUAGCCCAGGAACUUCCAUAUGCCGCAGGUGGACCAUAAAGAAAAAGAAAAACAAACAAAAACCAAAAACCUUGGCUUCACAGAAGGGGAGCAGGCUCCACAGUGGUUUGCUACAAUUUGAGACAAAACUGAAACAUUAUCAACUACCAAGGAGAAAAACACCUGAACUACUUGCAUUAUCUUGGGCUGUUUUAUUUUCUGUAAAGGUAGCUCUGUUGGAUUUUUUUGAGUUAUUAAAAUGUCUUCAAAGAUUUCAUUAGCACCUUCCUGGCUCAUGAUUUAUGAAGCAUUAGUCUAGGCUGGCAGGUAGAAAUUUUUUAAUGCAGGAUUUUUAUUUUUAAUGCCGUGAGUGUGAGUUCCACACGGUUCCUAGCACAUGCUAGGUAAACCAACCGCCCAGCUGUAACUCAUGGGAUUUAUAAUCUACUCAUUACAAGGAAGACUCUUCUUCUAUUUAAGGGAUUAAAAAAGAUACCUUGAGACUGGAGAAUCAAUUAAAUAUGUAAUUGUCAUUUGAAUAAGAGGAAGUAUGCCAAGUUAUGAAUGUAUUUUUAAAGACACACAUACAAAUAACAGCAUGGAAGGAUACAAAAAGACAAGUAAAAUUCCCCUUUCAAACCACUCUUCUUUGUAACCUACUCUCAGACAUUUUUUUCUUUCCCAUAUCUGGGCAUAUAGAUUUAACUCAUUCUUUUUUAAUAAACUUACUAGUAGAAAAAUUUCAAACAUAAACCAGGUAGAGGAACAGUGUGUAAUGAGCCCAAUCUAUUGUUCAGCUUCAACAAUGAUCAAUAAUCUCUUUUUUUUGGUGGGGGGGAGUUGAAUCUGUGGCAUAUGGAGGUUCCCAGGCUAGGGGGUUGAAUUGGAGCUGCAGCUACCAGCCUACACCACAGCCACAGCAAUGCUGGAUCUGAGCAGCAUCUGUGACCUACGCUGCAGCUUGUGGCAAUGCCAGACCCUUAACCCACUGAGCGAAGCCAGAGAUUGAACCUGCAUCCUCAUGGCUACUAGUUGGGUUCUUAACCCACUGAGCCACAAUGGUAACUCCAAUAAUCUUGUUUUUAUAUUUCGUAAUUUAGAUUGUUUUGAGGCAAAAUUCUAGGCAUGUUUCAUUGGCAAAUAUUUCCUAACUACUGUUGACCUUUGACCACCACCAGGGUUAGGGGAACUGACUCUUCACACAGUGGAAAAUCUAGCAAUAAUUUUUAGUCACCCUUCCAUACUCUGGGUUCCUCCCUACCUGUCCUGCAUCUGUGGAUUCAAACAACUCCCAAGUGUAGUAGUUUAGUAUCAACUAUUGAAGAAAAUCCACAUGUAUGUGGACCUAUUCAGUUCAAAUUGGGGUUGUUCGAGGGUAAAUUGUGUUUAAUAUUUAUUACUAGAUUUUAAUUUUUACAAGUUUUAGAUUUACAGAAAAACUGAGCAGAUAGUAGACUGCCAUACUAUACCCUUUCCCAGUUUUCUCUAUUAUUCACAUUCCCCAUUAUAGGGUGUAUUAUAUACAUUGGGUUUAAAUCUUUAAAAUUAUAGUUGAUUUACAAUGUUGUUAUAGACGUUGUUAAUAACUGUGUGGUAUAGUCAUUAAAAUUAAUGAACAAAGAGUGAUGCAUUAUUAGUCAAUAGUUUAUUCAGAUUUCCUUGAUUUUUACCAACUACCCAUUUUCUUCUCCAAAAUCUCAUCCAGGAUAUAUUACCUUUAGUUAUCAUUGCUUCUUAGAGUCCUCUUGAUUAUAACAUUUCCCCAGACUUUUAUGGGUUUUGAUGACCUUGACAGUUUUAUUUUUUUUGGUUUGUUUUUUGGCCGCUCCCUGGAACCCAAGGAGUCCCACUCUGGGCGCCCCCUGCCCGCGCCCCAUUUGGCUGUGCCGCCGGCCAGAGAGCCUGGCUAACUGGAGCCUGUCGGGCCUGGGCAGUGUUCGGGACCCUUAGACUACAGAGGCGGUGACCGAGAGCGUCCCUCUCUGGGAACUACUAGUUCACCAGGUGAACUACACCAAGAGGCGGCUUGGGCGGUGGCGGGAGGGGGGAGGGGCGCGCGGGAGGGGCGGGGGCCGGGCGCCUAAGAGGCGGAGCCCGCCCCUCACAGCAGCCGCCGGCGCCAAUGUUCUUACCUGCACCCCUCCGGCGCCUGGGGCUUCGUCGGGCCCAAAGUCUGAGACAGAUUAGAGGCGAUGGCCAUAACCCAGAAGUCGUUUACAUCGAGCUGUGGAUGUUACCCGCGUUGUUUGGUGAGUAAGCCCAGAGUUCGCUCCCUCUGACAUCCUGCCGCAGGCAUCUCGUUCGGUGUCGCCCACGUUCUUGCCCGUGGGUGGGGCCUUAACCUAGUGGCCCCGAGGUUUCCUGAAACCCUAGGCUAUCCGUGGGCCAGUCUGGGCGGCCUCUAGCCUGAGGCCCCUUCCGUCACUUCCCGGUAGUGUGGACCCCUACCCGCUGCUCAGCUCCCCUUCCCCUUCCCAGGCGGGGAAGGCGAACUGCUGGCGGCCUUCCACGAGUGGUUCGGGGUAUUACUCGUGAUCAGUGCAGUUCCAGGAUGCGGAGUCUUGAUCUUCAUCAUUGGACGGCCCUUUUACCAGUAUCUUACGAUGCUCCUCAUUGUGGCCAUGUCUUUCCAGCUUCUGAUCCGCCGAAAUCGAGGUGAGGGGUCUCGGGGGCCCAGGCAGGGAACGCUUCCUUCGCCCAGGGGUCGGGGAAAGUAGGUUUCCGCUCUCUGCAUCUUUUUGGCUCACGGCAGUUCCUCAGCCUAGGACCAGGCUCAAUUUUGAAAACAAUCACUCCGUCUAAAAUCCCCUGGUGUGGGUCCUGGCUUCUGAGUAGGAAGAGCGGGGUGCGUUUGGGAGUCUGUGGUAGACCCAAGGGUGAAAAUCUGUCUUAUCGUACCCUCCUGCUGAGGGUCCUCGGGAAGUCCUCAGUAGCACUUUGAGGGGCGUCUUCCGCCGAAU
rnacentral:lncRNA from 1 species